ACAAAUCGCAAUCACGCGCACACGCCUGUUGAACAUCGUUCGUUCUAUUUAUAAAAAGAUUUUUAUUCAUAAAACUUUUCUUAGAGCCCACGGUCUAGUGUUGUGUUGGUGUGUUAAUUUUGGAGCGAAAACAUUUUCGUAAAAAUGUUAAACGAACAAGACCUGGCUUGGGCACGCGCUUUGGCAGCUGACUCUAGAGAAAGCUCACCAGGUGGAUCACCAGGUCCACUGAGGAGGAAUCCACCGCUAUCAAUAGAGGACAAACAUAAUACUUUCAGGCAAGCAUUAUAAUUUAACACUAUCUUUAAAUAAAGUAAGGAAGUAGAAGUUAAA
rnacentral:misc_RNA from 1 species